GAACAGAUAAGGAGCUUGCUCCUUUGACGUUAGCGGCGGACGGGUGAGUAACACGUGGGUAACCUACCUAUAAGACUGGGACAACUUCGGGAAACCGGAGCUAAUACCGGAUAAUAUGUUGAACCGCAUGGUUCAAUAGUGAAAGAUGGUUUUGCUAUCACUUAUAGAUGGACCCGCGCCGUAUUAGCUAGUUGGUGAGGUAACGGCCCACCAAGGCAACGAUACGUAGCCGACCUGAGAGGGUGAUCGGCCACACUGGAACUGAGACACGGUCCAGACUCCUACGGGAGGCAGCAGUAGGGAAUCUUCCGCAAUGGGCGAAAGCCUGACGGAGCAACGCCGCGUGAGUGAUGAAGGUCUUAGGAUCGUAAAACUCUGUUAUUAGGGAAGAACAAACGUGUAAGUAACUGUGCACGUCUUGACGGUACCUAAUCAGAAAGCCACGGCUAACUACGUGCCAGCAGCCGCGGUAAUACGUAGGUGGCAAGCGUUAUCCGGAAUUACUGGGCGUAAAGCGCGCGUAGGCGGUUUUUUAAGUCUGAUGUGAAAGCCCACGGCUCAACCGUGGAGGGUCAUUGGAAACUGGAAAACUUGAGUGCAGAAGAGGAAAGUGGAAUUCCAUGUGUAGCGGUGAAAUGCGCAGAGAUAUGGAGGAACACCAGUGGCGAAGGCGACUUUCUGGUCUGUAACUGACGCUGAUGUGCGAAAGCGUGGGGAUCAAACAGGAUUAGAUACCCUGGUAGUCCACGCCGUAAACGAUGAGUGCUAAGUGUUAGGGGGUUUCCGCCCCUUAGUGCUGCAGCUAACGCAUUAAGCACUCCGCCUGGGGAGUACG
rnacentral:rRNA from 1 species